ACAUUAACGUUGUGUGAUCGGUUGAUGCAAUGAAAAUUGUGAACAAAGUUGUUAUUUAGCAGUUAGCUCAAGUAAUUACAAACAACAGAGGAUCUGCUUUUCUGUUGUGUCGUUACGUUAACCAGCUUCCCAUCCCUGUGUACUUGAACUAGGGAAUCCAGAGGAAACACGCCGCUUGAUUCGCUUUCGAGCUGAGAAUGAGCAGCGAUUUCUGAAAUCCAAAGCUGCUGCUAAAAAGCUUUGGGAGACGCUGAUCAAGGAGCUUGGCCUGGAGGGAAAGGUGACCUCCCAGCAAGCAUCAAAAAAGUGGGAGAACUUGAAAAAGAAGUAUAAGGAGCUGAAAAAUCCACUCUCUGGGAGUGGGACAGAUGAGGGCCAAACAACUGCGUGCACAUGGCAGUUUUUUGAGGACAUGCACGAGGUGUUGGGAUCCAGGCCAUCCAUUGACCCUCCAGUGGUAGUGGAAUCAUUUUGUCCUGAUGCUGAUCCCACACUUCUUCUGAUGGAAAUCGCCGGGCCCUCCUCAGACACCUUUUUUCCCAUGGCAGCCAGCACCUCUGAUGCUGACACAUCUACUACCUCUAGCCCUGCUCCUAUUCCC